AGGUUUCCGCUGUCGACUCCCUCGGAUGGCUUUGUUGAUAAAGAGCUGAUGAUAUGAAUAGGAUCUGCACAGGAAUAACAAGGGGGCCUGUGAGCCCGGGGGCCGCCACCGCCGACCUUCCACUGUAAACCUCAAUCAAGCAGACAUGGCUUCACUUGGACAGGAUCGCGAGAAACUUCACUUUUCCAGAAGCUACAGGAGUCCAAGCACCUCUGGAAGACCUCCUCUGCCUAACAAACGACAAAAACACUUUGGAUCAGGUUGUGGAGUUCGUGGAGUCUCUGCC